AAACGAUUUAUUAUGUUUAUUUGUUACUAUAUAUAGAUGUUCCCAAUCUUUGUACAAUGUUGUGUUUUUUCCUAGAUAUCUACAGGAAGCUUGGUAUUACAUAUUAUUAAGGUUAUAUGCUUGUUGAAUGUGAUGAAACUCUGUGAUUUUAUAAUCCAAAGUCACUUUUUGGAUUUAAUGUCACUUUUUUUCUACUUCAUUUUGGAUUACAAAAUUUACAAUCCAAAGUCUUUUGAUCAUUUUUUGUGUGCUCAGUAAGGGACGAAUGGAUGGUCAUAGGUACAUAGUAGCUGGAUAGUUAUAUUUGAUAUCUUGUCUUAUCGACCAAGGUUAUGAUGUCAGGUUGAAUUUUUUUUAUGACGGUUUUUUUAUGGUUAUUCUAGUGUCUUUCAAAAUUUAUAAGCUGGGUAACUUCUUACUUAAUUGUGUGGUUUUAUGAUCAUGACCAGGUUGAUAUCUUGCUUCACUACCCAAUUUUUUAAGGUUCUUAUCUGAUGUUAUAUCUAUAUACUUUGAUUUCUUGCAGGCUUAUAAUUUUAAUGCCGGUUAUUACACUGCCUUGUAUGAUUUUGUGUCUGUAUCAGUUUUUUGUGGUUGCUUGUGCUUAUGUUGCUGCAGUGGUGAUGUUGGAUCAAGUUUUUUGCUGAGCUUGAAUUUGUACAAACUGUUCUUCAGUUCGAGCGACAUCAUCUUCAUCACUGCUGGUUGGUUUUGGUUUUCUGGUUGUAAACAGAGUUGGGGGACUAUAGAUAAUGAGACGAUUAUAUUGUAUUGCCUUAAGAAAUAAUAACAAUUGCAAAGAGAAUAUAUAAUCCCAGGCCCUGGUAUGUGAUUUCUGUUUCAGUCGGUCUUUGUUUCUUAUGUGAUUUCUGUUGCAGUCAGUGGUCAAGUUAUGCUUUUUUCUUUUUCUUUUCUGAGAUCUUAGUGGGCACAUGGUGACUACUGACCAGUUGUAUGGUCAUGGUCUGUUUACUGGAUCUCACGUUACUACUGAACACCUCUUUUAAUUCUCUGGUAUGUCAUUCUGUUUACCUUGAUCUAUUGCGUGCUUCCGUUAGUUCAGAUCUUUUAAUUUGUACAACAGUCGGUAACUGUCACAUUAUCUUGAAUGAUUUCACUUUUGGUUAUGGUUUUGUAUGCUUUUCUGUAUGAAUGGUGCGUGUAGGUAGUUGUUUCUUAAUGACCUACAAGCUUGAAUCUGGGCAAACGUAUAUCAGCUUGAGCGUUGUCAUAUUAAAUCAUUGUACUUGAAUUAUCUGUUCUUUGCAAGUAUAUAAUGUUCAAGUGGAUAUGCUGCUCUAUAGUAAUAGUAGUAGAGGCUGUAAGCUCUUACCGUGACCUGCUUGCCCUUGGAUGGUCACUUUUGUUCUUUGCAAGGUGUUAUUGAACCUGCAUAUUCUAUAUGAUCACCAGUCCUUGUUAGGCUUAAGCCUCAUUUGCCCAUAGUCAAGCUUGUAAGCCAUUAAGAAACAACUACCAAAAGGUGGCCGGAGUAGUACAAUGGUAGUUGAUGGUGGCCAGAUUUGCAAUGCAGUGGCAGUAGUUGUAUUGUGCUAUCCAAAAGGUGGUGACCAAUUAAAGAAGUGUACUUGUUGAUCAUAAGUUUUUAUCAAUCGGAUGGUUGGAUUGUGCAGACAAUUGAGUCAUUUUUGGUAUUUCAGUAUAGUAUGAUGUUUAAACUACAACAUUUCAUCAGACUGUUACAUGAAGACCGAAAACCAGCUGAUAUAGAGCAAUCUGUGCCCAAUCAAGAUAUAUCAAUUUGGACAAGACGAAAUCAAGAGCGUUACCCUUUGGAUUUUUUGUUCUUGGUUCUUUUGGUUCCUAUAAUUCUAGUUCUAGCAUCAUGACCCAAGUAUCAUAAAAUUCUUCUGUACCUUAAUGAUAUGUCAAAUUUAUUACAAAA